UGUCUCCUCUAUCUCCUCCAAGGAAAUAGACUUCAGCCCGCUCCCUGGUAGCGGGCUUUUUUUU
rnacentral:ncRNA from 1 species